GAGUCAAGCGUUCGCCAGGACAGCCCGCAGACUAAGCGCAUUCCCUCUCCUUUCCAGUCCAUAAAAACCCCAGAACGGGCCCCAUAAUGGGUACUCCCGGUCGGGACCCCUUCUCUGCUGGCAGAGAGCUUUUUCCUUUCGCUUAUUAAACUUUCGCUCUAACCUCA
ensembl:lncRNA novel transcript, antisense to ZSCAN31